UUUUUUUUUUAAUCCCUUUGCUCGCAUCAAUCCAUUAAUGAAUGUCUUUUUCACUUGCUCCGAAGGCUUUGAAAAUGUCUCCUUUUAGCCGUCUGGUCAAUUACAGUAAACUGAUCUCAUGCUGACUCAUUUUGUUAUCAAGAUUUGUGUGCACAUGUGGUGUUUUUAACUUUUGAGUAGUUAGAUUUGCUUUAUGAUGUUUUACUUUUAUUCUUUAUGUUUCUCAAAAAAAAAAUUUAUUUGCUUUAUGAUGCUGCCUACUGUAAAGUGAGCCAAGUAAGAGAAAGUUUUGCAUAUUGAAGUCAUCUUGUUAAACUGGUAAGGUAGCUUAAUAAUUGUAAUCGACUUUACUUCUUUUCCAUUUCAAAUCAACUGAUAAUUUUUAUAUAGAUAAUUAUUUAUGAAUAAUUAUUUGUUUAAACUCAAAGUAAUAGUUUUGGCUCCCUAGAGGGAUGUUGUUAUAAUUCUGAACUUGAAAUUGCUAGUAGGAGUUGACCUGCCUUUAUUGAGAAGCAUAUCAUUGCUGAUAGGCUAGCUGUCAUAACUUGAACUGUAUUCUAUCUCUCCAUAUAACUUCCCCCCUCCAGUUACCCUAAAUUUACUAGGACAAACAAUUCUUUCUUAUUUUUACAAAAUCAUUGAGGUAACCAGGCUAUUCAUACUGAUGGUCUCAUAACUAUUUAUGUAGAGUAUUUAUCAAAAAGUAUCUUCAUAGUUAGAAUAUUCUCCCAAUAUUGGUAUUGUAUAAAAGACAAAAGUCAAUCCUUCUAGAAUAUUCAAAAGUAUACAAAAUUAUCUCAUUCACAAGCUUUUAGUGCAUAGUAAAAUUAUCUUAAGUUAGUUUUAUUAGUAUUAUAUGAUUAAAAGUUGCCUCAAGUCCCCUUUGAAACAUGAGUGAGUCAUCCAUCUAGAAUUGGUGCUUAAUAAAUCAGGCAAAGGAACAAAGUAGCCUCUUCAAAGAUUUCAAUCUGUUAUGCAGGGUCAGCAAUUCUGGUGCUUGUCUGGAGUUUUCAAAACAUGGCUGUAACUGUAAGUGUUGCCUUAAGGCUGUUCGCUUGCUCGAUAUGGAGAUCAAAAUGGACUGUGGGUGAGAAACGAGCAACACUGGUCAAAAUGAACCGGUACUAGGAUUGGAAUAAGGGAGCCAUGUUUACAACAUCAGUGAUUUAUGCAUGGUGACAAAGGAAGUUGCGAUCACAACAAGGCAAGGUCUGGGAGGCAGUAAGCCAAAGCAAAAUUGCGAUCGUGAGCCCGGUUGUGUGAUCACCACUUUAUGGGGUUGCUGAGGUAUUGAGCUCAGCUUCAUAAUCGCGUACACGGGCCCAAGGACCGCAAUCAUGGCUUUCUUCCUGGGCACUUAAAUCAUCAAUGUUGUGAUUGCUUCACAAGGCCUGCAGCUUCUUCAAAGGGAUGAUGUGAGGGGGACAGAUGAGAAGGGCCUAAGCCUAUUUAGUCCCAUCUCCUUGAGUUUCACUUGGAAUGCUAAGCGCCUCUCUAGUGACAAAAAUGGAUCGACAAACCCACUUCUUAAAUGUUCUGAAUCGGAGAAGGUAUUAUUUUUUACGGAAAGAUUUUCGGGCAGAACUUGGGCUAGAUUUUGGUUAUGCAGUGGUAAGCUGAUUCGUUUCUGGAAUGAUUUUUGGCCGUGUCACUCUUCUGAGAAAUGCAUGACAUUAUAUCAAAUCACAAGGUUCUGAUGAUCACAAAGUGAUUAAUACGGUCUAUAUAAAGGGCAAAAAAUGAUUUAUUCCCCUAUUCAACUACUC